GACGAACGCUGGCGGCGUGCCUAAUACAUGCAAGUAGAACGCACAGUUUAUACCGUAGCUUGCUACACCAUAGACUGUGAGUUGCGAACGGGUGAGUAACGCGUAGGUAACCUGCCUGGUAGCGGGGGAUAACUAUUGGAAACGAUAGCUAAUACCGCAUAAUAUUAAUUAUUGCAUGAUAAUUAAUUGAAAGGUGCAAUUGCACCACUACCAGAUGGACCUGCGUUGUAUUAGCUAGUAGGUGAGGUAACGGCUCACCUAGGCGACGAUACAUAGCCGACCUGAGAGGGUGAUCGGCCACACUGGGACUGAGACACGGCCCAGACGCCUACGGGAGGCAGCAGUAGGGAAUCUUCGGCAAUGGACGAAAGACUGACCGAGCAACGCCGCGUGAGUGAAGAAGGUUUUCGGAUCGUAAAGCUCUGUUGUAAGAGAAGAACGGGUGUGAGAGUGGAAAGUUCACACUGUGACGGUAUCUUACCAGAAAGGGACGGCUAACUACGUG
rnacentral:rRNA from 1 species